GGGAUUUGAGUGGGGGAAUGUCAGGUUCAAGCUAAGGAAGUAAACAGUGGAAAACAGCCAACUCUCUGUCGUUCUUUUUAGAUAGAAACCCACAGUGAGUUACAGGCGUAACAUAACAUCUUCAAGACUUCAUAAAAACUUAAGGAACAGAUACUUAUGGUUUUUGAGUGAAUUUCGAUCCGAGUUUUGAUCGGUAAAACUUACGUUUUAAAACGAUUUUCUGACAGUUACAGCCAUUGUUAGGGAGACGCCAGCGUGUCGUCAUUUGUUAUGGUCACGUGGUACAAGACCGCUGCUUGUUGGCAAGAACCAGCAGUAACAUAACGGCUUGCUACGAGAACGGUAUCGGGUUUGAAACAAAUACGUAAAGUUAUCGCUUUUCAUGAAUGAAAUUGCACAUGUAUUUACCACAAUGGUAAUAUCGUGUGUGGUUGUUGGUUGUACGAAGCGUUUUGAGAAGGUAUCAGGCUUGAAAUUUCACCGAAUACCGAUUUCAGGAGAGAGAAGAUGGCGGUGGCUUCAGCCAUCAACAGGAAAGCAGCAGAGAUCGUAUUUGUGGCUCCCACUUUUCUUCAGACAGGAGCACAGUAUGGAAGGCGAAUGAUGACUGGUUACCUGUCUUCAAAAGGAAUCCAAGCAUCUGAGGGACGUGUUGGUAGUGUCUUGAGACAAGUUAACCAACCAUAUCAUGCUGAUCGUUGUCUGAGAUUGAGGAACCUGAAUCCAGUGCCGUACAGUGCUGAAUACAUGGGUCACAAACUGCACUUGGAUCAAAAUGAAAAGCUGGUGAUGUUUGGGGUGACACAUGUCCUCGCUGUAGAUGGUUUCUCCAGCAAAAUUGUCAGCCAUUCAACAAUGCCUGUCAAAAACAACCUGACAAUAUAUCAAGAGGUGUUCAGGUAACUUUGUGGGCUUUCUAUUUCAUCAUUUAGUUUUACAUUAUAGGCACUGUCCAACUACAUCUACAUCAUCCUUCCCGACCAAGGACGACCUAAUUAUGUCUUCCUGUAAUUCUACAAUUCUGCAGUUUCAUUUAGCAGAUGCUUUUGUCCAAAGCGACGUACAACACAAGCAAGAAUUUAGACUUAAAGGAGAACUCGGCCAAAUGUCAUGUCAGCCUCCACAGCUUAGGGUCGACUCGACUAUCAUAGGCUAUCUGUUGAGCGACUAUCAAACAAAAAAUAGUCGCCGAGAGGCUAAACAGGGGAAAAACUUUACCUGCUGGAUGCACUGGCUGAUCAUUUAAGACACUUCUCCAUGUACUGCUUUUGCUUAUUUGUUGCUGCUAAAAACACAAUUAGAAUAUUCCCACAAUCUUUAAAAACAGAGCCAUAAUGUCUUGAGAUCAUGCAGUCAGCAAAAGUGCGACUUCCCCCUUCACCCUCUCAGUUCCCCCCCAUUCACCGAGUGAACAGGUAAUUUAAAAACUCAGCUGAUUUGUCA